GCACGGAAAGAUGGCCCUGCCCUCAAGGAGCUGCAGUCUGCCCAGGAAGGCAGACAGAUAAACUGCUAUAGUUUUCCACUAUUGAGCUGAAUUUCGUAUCACCAUCAAAAGUUACCUACCUACAAGUCCCUAGUAGAGAAAAUUUAACUUCUGGCUUUAAAAAAGGGACAGAAAAGCAGGCAGAUCUGCUAGUAAGCAAACUACAGCUCCCCCGAGGAGACACACAGGCAGUGGGUAAGAGGAACAGACCCAUGGCUCCACUGAAGACACAGAGCAGCAGACGAAAAAGACAUGUCCUAAAUGUUAAAUGAAUGUGACAGAAUGAUACCAGGUGACUUCUAAGACUACAUCAUACAAAGCAACACAGCUUCUGCUGGGCUCUCCCUCUCUGGACACGUGUCUUUGAAGCCCUGAGCUGCCAGAUUAAACAGUCCGGCUUGCCUAAAGUCACCACGCUGGAGAGACCAUCAGGGAUGGAGAGGUGCUACAGAAACCCUAGCUAUUCUAGUCCCCAGCCAUUUGAGUCUUCCUAGCCCAGACUCAUAAGUGAAGAAACCUUCAAGAUGAUUCCAAUACCUCCUAUCACUUGACUGCAACCUCGUGAAAGCCUAAGCCAGACCUGCACGGUGGAGCCAUUCCUAAAUUCUGGUCCCACAGAAACUGUGAAAGAUAAUAAAUGAUCAUCAUUGCUUUA